UGGCGGACGGGUGAGGAAUACAUCGGAAUCUACUCUGUCGUGGGGGAUAACGUAGGGAAACUUACGCUAAUACCGCAUACGACCUACGGGUGAAAGCAGGGGAUCUUCGGACCUUGCGCGAUUGAAUGAGCCGAUGUCGGAUUAGCUAGUUGGCGGGGUAAAGGCCCACCAAGGCGACGAUCCGUAGNUGGUCUGAGAGGAUGAUCAGCCACACUGGAACUGAGACACGGUCCAGACUCCUACGGGAGGCAGCAGCC
rnacentral:rRNA from 1 species